rnacentral:rRNA from 1 species
UACGUAGGCAGCAAGCGUUGUUCGGAAUUACUGGGCGUAAAGGGUGCGUAGGUGGUUGCGUAAGUAACGUGUGAAAUCCCUCGGCUUACCCGGGGAAUUGCGCGUUAUACUGCGUGACUUGAGGAUUUCAGGGGAAUGGGGAACUCCAGGUGUAGCGGUGAAAUGCGCAGAUAUCUGGGGGAAGGCCGGCGGCGAAGGCGCCAUUCUGGGAAAUUCCUGACACUGAGGCACGAAAGCGUGGGGAGCAAACAGG